rnacentral:rRNA from 1 species
GCCUACGGGGGGCAGCAGUAGGGAAUUUUCGUCAAUGGGCGCAAGCCUGAACGAGCAAUGCCGCGUGAACGAGGAAGGUCUUCGGAUCGUAAAGUUCUGUUGAAGGGGAAAAAGAGCGGAGAGAGGAAAUGGUCUCCGAUUGAUAUUACCCUUCGAGGAAGUCACGGCUAACUACGUGCCAGCAGCCGCGGUAAUACGUAGGUGGCGAGCGUUAUCCGGAAUGAUUGGGCGUAAAGGGUGCGUAGGCGGCCUGCUAAGUCUGGAGUGAAAGGUACCGGCCCAACCGGUACAGGGUCGGGAAACUG